UAUUAUUCUGAUCAUCAGAAAGAAAAGCACUUUGGGAAACCCAGAGCUGGGUUCCCAGAGUCGAGACUAGAACCCAGACCCAAGAGAACCAUGAAAGCUAACAACGGCUGACAAGUCUCCAAAGAGAAGUCACUGGCAACAGAAUGAAAGGCACCAGAUGAUUUGGUCCAAAAAAUCAAGAGUUUAGAGCUUGGGACUGAGUUUCAGACACAAGCAAGCUGAGGGCUGGCUGGUCCUCCUUCCACUUGGAGCGUAUCACAGUUCUGGCCAAGCAGACUGGCUGGCCAUCCCUUUUAGGGGCUACCUGUGAAUCUCUCUGUAGCUCUCAAUCAUCCAGCAUCAAUUUGAGCUCCUGGAUUCUGUUUUUUUAUCUUUCUAGGGUACUAUGAGCCAAAUGCUCCCUCAAAGGCCCUGGCCAUUGUUGGAAAACUCUCUCUGUCCUUUGAAUUCUUGAACUAGAAGUUUUCCAGCCUGUCUGGAUUUGAUGUGUAACGUGCUCAUCUCCAUCUGAGUGGGGGAAACAGCUGCUUCCCCCCCCCCCUUUCUUCUCUCCUGGGAGAUUGCCUUGGACCAUUCCUCUGAGGUUGCCCUGGACUGUUAGAAUGGGCCCCUCCCUCUGAGAGACUUCAGGGGUGUCCAGU
rnacentral:lncRNA from 1 species